AGUGAACGCUGGCGGUAGGCCUAACACAUGCAAGUCGAACGGCAGCACAGUAAGAGCUUGCUCUUACGGGUGGCGAGUGGCGGACGGGUGAGGAAUACAUCGGAAUCUACUUUUUCGUGGGGGAUAACGUAGGGAAACUUACGCUAAUACCGCAUACGACCUACGGGUGAAAGCAGGGGAUCUUCGGACCUUGCGCGAUUGAAUGCGCCGAUGUCGGAUUAGCUAGUUGGCGAGGUAAAGGCCCACCAAGGCGACGAUCCGUAGCUGGUCUGAGAGGAUGAUCAGCCACACUGGAACUGAGACACGGUCCAGACUCCUACGGGAGGCAGCAGUGGGGAAUAUUGGACAAAGGGCGCAAGCCUGAUCCAGCCAUACCGCGUGGGUGAAGAAGGCCUUCGGGUUGUAAAGCCCUUUUGUUGGGAAAGAAAAGCAGCAGGUUAAUACCCCGCUGUUCUGACGGUACCCAAAGAAUAAGCACCGGCUAACUUCGUG
rnacentral:rRNA from 1 species